UAGGGAAUCUUCGGCAAUGGACGGAAGUCUGACCGAGCAACGCCGCGUGAGUGAAGAAGGUUUUCGGAUCGUAAAGCUCUGUUGUAAGAGAAGAACGAGUGUGAGAGUGGAAAGUUCACACUGUGACGGUAACUUACCAGAAAGGGACGGCUAACUACGUGCCAGCAGCCGCGGUAAUACGUAGGUCCCGAGCGUUAUCCGGAUUUAUUGGGCGUAAAGCGAGCGCAGGCGGUUAGAUAAGUCUGAAGUUAAAGGCUGUGGCUUAACCAUAGUACGCUUUGGAAACUGUUUAACUUGAGUGCAGAAGGGGAGAGUGGAAUUCCAUGUGUAGCGGUGAAAUGCGUAGAUAUAUGGAGGAACACCGGUGGCGAAAGCGGCUCUCUGGUCUGUAACUGACGCUGAGGCUCGAAAGCGUGGGGAGCAAACAGGAUUAGAUACCCUGGUAGUCCACGCCGUAAACGAUGAGUGCUAGGUGUUGGGUCCUUUCCGGGACUCAGUGCCGCAGCUAACGCAUUAAGCACUCCGCCUGGGGAGUACGACCGCAAGGUU
rnacentral:rRNA from 1 species